UCAGAAAAUUGAAAUUCCGCU
rnacentral:piRNA from 1 species